rnacentral:rRNA from 1 species
GACGAACGCUGGCGGCGUGCUUAACACAUGCAAGUCGAACGGAAAGGCCCUGCUUUUGUGGGGUGCUCGAGUGGCGAACGGGUGAGUAACACGUGAGUAACCUGCCCUUGACUUUGGGAUAACUUCAGGAAACUGGGGCUAAUACCGGAUAGGAGCUCCUGCUGCAUGGUGGGGGUUGGAAAGUUUCGGCGGUUGGGGAUGGACUCGCGGCUUAUCAGCUUGUUGGUGGGGUAGUGGCUUACCAAGGCUUUGACGGGUAGCCGGCCUGAGAGGGUGACCGGACACAUUGGGACUGAGAUGCGGCCCAGACUCCUACGGGAGGCAGAAGUGGGGAAUAUUGCACAAUGGGAGGAAGCCUGAUGCAGCAACGCCGCGUGCGGGAUGACGGCCUUCGGGUUGUAAACCGCUUUCGCCUGUGACGAAGCGUGAGUGACGGUAAUGGGUAAAGAAGCACCGGCUAACUACGUG